ACAGCCCUAUUAAAGUAAAGCCUGUAGGCUACGGAGUUACUAAUGCUAAAAUGGAUAUAUCAGUAUGUAACACAGAUAGUAUCUCUAAUCGGCAAGAGGUUAAACUCCUGACAGGAAAAAUCAUUUGGAUUGUACCAAUAUACUGCCCAGGAGUGCAAGAUAUAAGUCGGUAUGCUUUACUUUUUAUUCGGUUCUAAUUAAGUUAUAAAUAGUUUCUGACAGACCAGCAAACUUCUGUGUAAGAAUCACAGCCAAACACUGAGCAGAAUCUUUGCCAGACUGUAGCCCUCAAUGGACUUUCCCAAACCCCCCUGUACGCUCUGGCAUUUGGUCUGGCCCCCUCAGUGCAUCAGCCCCACAGAAGAGACAAGAUGGCUGCCACUGCUCUAAUUGCCUCAAAAGUUUUAUAGUUGAUUCCAAAGGCUAUUUAUUUACUGCAGCAGCCUGUUUGCCUUUAUCUAUAGCAAUUUCAUGCUUUUAGCAGCUCCUGCAGUGUGUGUAGCACAUUCCCAAAUGUUUUUUAUAAAGACAGGCAGAGUACUUGUAUUCAAAAUGGCCGCCAUGGAAAAAACUAUGAUUUAAUCCCCACACUGUCACCCAAUUGUUGUGAGCUGCCUGUUGUACUGAGCUGGGAUUGUUAUAUGGGAAUGUGUCGUGUAUUCCCGCUAUGCUGCAGAUCCUCCCAGUUUUAUAAAUCCUGUAAUAUGUUGUAACCUCUAUUUCAGCUCAAUAGCUGCCUUCCCGGACUGGUACCAGUAGAAUAUGGGUUACACCGGACUCUCUCACCCAGAAUGGGCCUUCACUAAGUGGAAGAGGAAGGAGAAGACUGACCCGCUCUGGGAUCCCUGGGCAUGCUGGGAAAUGGGACCGUGCAGGGUUUAAUGGAUCCACUCUUCAGCAUGUGGCUUUAAACAAAGUGUUAAUCUUUCCAUUGUGUCAUGUUUCUGGGUUCUGAUCCAAUUAUCUGCAGAAACGAUGGGAUCGGCCAAUGGCAUUAUCCCGGGAUUUGUUGCCUUUAUGGCUCGCUGUCUGGUCGCUCCCGUCACGGAUAUCAAGAUACAGAAGAUUUGCAUCCAUCUUGCAAUUCAAUUUUUAGCAGUUCGGGCAGUUAAAGCAAACUGCCACCUGGAAGAAGCGCAGAGCUCACUGUCAUAUUCAGAACCCGGAGACAUUAAUAUCGGGGGCAUUUUGCAGAUAACGUUAAUAAAACAAAAGUUCUACUUGGAA